rnacentral:rRNA from 1 species
GGGACAACAGUUCGAAACGACUGCUAAUACCGCAUAAGCCCACGACCCGGCAUCGGGUUGAGGGAAAAGGAGCAAUCCGCUUUGAGAUGGCCUCGCGUCCGAUUAGCUAGUUGGUGAGGUAACGGCCCACCAAGGCGACGAUCGGUAGCCGGACUGAGAGGUUGAACGGCCACAUUGGGACUGAGACACGGCCCAGACUCCUACGGGAGGCAGCAGUGGGGAAUAUUGCACAAUGGGGGAAACCCUGAUGCAGCGACGCCGCGUGGAGGAAGAAGGUCUUCGGAUUGUAAACUCCUGUUGUUGAGGAAGAUAAUGACGGUACUCAACAAGGAAGUGACGGCUAACUACGUGCCAGCAGCCGCGGUAAAACGUAGGUCACAAGCGUUGUCCGGAAUUACUGGGUGUAAAGGGAGCGCAGGCGGGAAGACAAGUUGGAAGUGAAAUCCAUGGGCUCAACCCAUGAACUGCUUUCAAAACUGUUUUUCUUGAGUAGUGCAGAGGUAGGCGGAAUUCCCGGUGUAGCGGUGGAAUGCGUAGAUAUCGGGAGGAACACCAGUGGCGAAGGCGGCCUACUGGGCACCAACUGACGCUGAGGCUCGAAAGUGUGGGUAGCAAACAGGAUUAGAUACCCUGGUAGUCCACACCGUAAACGAUGUAUACUAGGUGUUGGAGGAUUGACCCCUUCAGUGCCGCAG